rnacentral:rRNA from 1 species
AGCGAACGCUGGCGGUAGGCCUAACACAUGCAAGUCGAACGGCAGCACAGUAAGAGCUUGCUCUUACGGGUGGCGAGUGGCGGACGGGAGAGGAAUAUAUCGGAACCUACACUUUCGGGUGGGUUAACGUAGGGAAACUUACGAUAAUACCGCAUACGACCUACGGGGGAAAGCAGUGGAACGUUGCACCUUGCGCGAUUGAAUGAGCCGAUGUCGGAUUAGCUAGUUGGCGGGGUAAAGGCCCACCAAGGCGAGGAUCCGUUGCCGGACUGUGAGGACGGUCGCCCACCUUGGAGCUUGGACACGGUCCAGACUCCUACGGGAGGCAGCAGUGGGGAACAUUGGACAGUGGUCGCAAGCCUGACCCAGCGGUCCCGCGUGGGUUAAGAAGGCCUUCGGGUUGUAAUGACCUUUUUUUGGUAAAGAACAGCUGCAGGUUAUUACGCCGCUUUUGUGACGGUACCCAAUGAAUAAGCACCGGCUAACUUCGUG